UACAGAGGUCUCAAGCGUUGUUCGGAUUCAUUGGGCGUAAAGGGUGCGUAGGCGGCGAGGUAAGUCGGAUGUGAAAUCCCGGGGCUCAACCCUGGAACUGCAUUCGAUACUGCCUUGCUCGAGGACUCGAGAGGAGAUUGGAAUUCACGGUGUAGCAGUGAAAUGCGUAGAUAUCGUGAGGAAGACCAGUGGCGAAGGCGGAUCUCUGGAGAGUUCCUGACGCUGAGGCACGAAGGCCAGGGGAGCAAACGGGG
rnacentral:rRNA from 1 species